rnacentral:rRNA from 1 species
GAUUUCAUAAAUAUUUUUUUGCUUGAAAUUUUUUAAAAUGUUUAUGGGGAGUAAUACGCUUUCGUUUCCUAGGGUAUCUAGUUUAACUUGUGUUUGUAAAUGGGAAACCUUUUUAAUUUUUUCUAUUUUAACUGAUUAUGUUUUUUUUAAUAGUAAAUGGUUGUGUAAUAACUUAAUUUGUAAUAAAGAAAAGUCUAUUUUUUUGGUGACUUGAUUAAUUGAUUAAUGGAUUAGUAGAUUGAAUUUUAUUAGAUUUUAUUUUACUUAUAUUAAGAGAUUUGAGUUAUUUCUACUUACUGAUUUUUUCUUAGACUGGUUAAUAAAAUCUUAGCCACAAAAUUUGUGGUUAUUUCUGCUCUAUGCAAAAAAGUAAAUGGCUGUUUAGACACUAAGGUAGCAAAAUCAUUAGUUAUUUAAUUGGUAACUUGUAUGAAUGAAUUUUCUAAGAAAGAUAUUAAUUUUUUUUUUGAAUUUAUAAAUUUGUUGAAAAUAACAAUUUUACCUAUAAAACUAAAAGACCCUAAAAUUUUUAUAACUAAUAGAAUUAAAAGUUAUUUGGUUGGGGCAAUAAUAAAAAGUUAAUAUUAAGUAAUUUAUUUUUUCUUGAACUUUUAGUAUUGAUAAAAUGAAAAAUACUUUAGGGAUAACAGCUUAAUUAUUUUUAAGAGUUCUUAUUAUUAAAAUAGUUUUAGACCUCGAUGUUGGAUUGGGAAAACUUUUUGGGGCAG